UACGAAGGGGGCUAGCGUUGUUCGGAAUUACUGGGCGUAAAGCGCACGUAGGCGGAUUUUUAAGUCAGGGGUGAAAUCCCGAGGCUCAACCUCGGAACUGCCUUUGAUACUGGGAAUCUCGAGUCCGGAAGAGGUAAGUGGAACUGCGAGUGUAGAGGUGAAAUUCGUAGAUAUUCGCAAGAACACCAGUGGCGAAGGCGGCUUACUGGUCCGGAACUGACGCUGAGGUGCGAAAGCGUGGGGAGCAAACAGG
rnacentral:rRNA from 1 species